rnacentral:rRNA from 1 species
GAUGAACGCUCGCUACAGGCUUAACACAUGCAAGUCGCGGGGCAGCAUGGGGGUUGCUUGCACUCCCCGAUGGCGACCGGCGCACGGGGGAGUAACGCGUAUCCAACCUGCCCUUCACCACGGGAUAACCCGGCGAAAGUCGGACUAAUACCGUAUGUUGUCCAUUGACGGCAUCCGAUUUGGACGAAAGGUUUGGCGGUGAAGGAUGGGGAUGCGUCCGAUUAGCUGGACGGCGGGGUGACGGCCCACCGUGGCGACGAUCGGUAGGGGUUCUGAGAGGAAGGUCCCCCACACUGGAACUGAGACACGGUCCAGACUCCUACGGGAGGCAGCAGUGAGGAAUAUUGGUCAAUGGGCGUAAGCCUGAACCAGCCAAGUAGCGUGCAGGAUGACGGCCCUAUGGGUUGUAAACUGCUUUUAUGCGGGGAUAAAGUGGCCCCCGUGUGGGUUUUUGCAGGUACCGCAUGAAUAAGGACCGGCUAAUUCCGUG